UGCAAGGUAAGUUUGCCCUCAUCUCUCUCUACAGUACUUUCUGAAUGAGUGGGAUAGGGACAUGGAUAUCACUUGGUCCUCAAGCAUAUAGUAAAAAAAAAUUAACAGUGUAAGUCUUUGAGAAAAUAGGAAAGAUUAAAUUUUAGAGUACUUCCUUCUGCUUAACCCAAUAGGAUCCAAAAUAUCCAGUUAAUAUUCAAGCACAUCCACCUAUUUUACACUCACAAGUGGAAAAAGAAGCUCCUGAAGCUAUUGUAGACAAUUUCUGGUAGUCCGUUUAACACAUUCAACCCAUACAAUCACUUUUACAGUAUCCUUAUUUAUUAUACUCAUAGAUUUUUUGUGAAUGUAGGUAAAGUUCUCUCCAUCCUUAAAAUUGUGGAAUUCCAAAAUUGAUUUCAUGUGAUUUUGUAGAGUUUAGGACUAGUGCUGAGUAUAUGUGGAGGAUUUCUAUUCCUGUGUGAUAUAUUAUUAUUAAUGCAUGUGGUAUCAUGCUUGUCUUUGAAUAUCUAUAGUUGCUAAAUUGUGAAGUCAUAUGGAGCUUUUGAAUUAUUUUUGACCUCUUACUGCUACUUUGUAUGCUAUAUUCAAACCCAGAAAAAAACCCCUAUAUUCCCAAGCCAUAAAAUUACCAAAAGAUUCACAUCCUAAAACGUUGCUCAGCAAAAGUUCAUAUGAUCUUCCAAGUUUUACCAUAAUAUCUUUUACUUGAAAGUCAAUAAUAUACAUGGAAUUGAUACUUUAAGGAAAGAAUAGGGAAAGAAGGAAAGAGUAGAAAACUAAGACAUUGAUCUGAUAAUACAC
rnacentral:lncRNA from 1 species